rnacentral:rRNA from 1 species
UGCCAGCCGCCGCGGUAACACGUAGGAGGCAAGCGUUAUCCGGAUUUACUGGGCGUAAAGCGCGUGCAGGUGGUUUAGUAAGUUGGAUGUGAAAUCUCCCGGCUCAACUGGGAGAGGUCGUUCAAAACUGCUAGGCUAGAGGACGGUAGAGGAAAGUGGAAUUCCCGGUGUAGUGGUGAAAUGCGUAGAUAUUCGGAGGAACACCAGUGGCGAAGGCGGCUUUCUGGACCGAUACUGACGCUGAGACGCGAAAGCGUGGGGAGCAAACAGGAUUAGAUA